UGGCAAGCUCAUAAAUGCUGUCCGAGCAGU
rnacentral:piRNA from 1 species